rnacentral:rRNA from 1 species
CUACGGGGGGCUCCAGUGGGGAAUAUUGCACAAUGGGCGAAAGCCUGAUGCAGCAACGCCGCGUGAGUGAAGAAGGCCUUCGGGUCGUAAAACUCUUUUCUUGAGGAAGAAUAUUGACGGUACUCAAGGAAUAAGCCCCGGCUAAUUACGUGCCAGCAGCCGCGGUAAUACGUAAGGGGCAAGCGUUAUCCGGAAUCACUGGGCGUAAAGGGUGCGUAGGUGGUCAAAUAAGUCAGAAGUGAAAGGCUAUGGCUCAACCAUAGUAAGCUUUUGAAACUGUUUGACUUGAGUGCAGGAGAGGAAAGUGGAAUUCCUAGUGUAGCGGUGAAAUGCGUAGAUAUUAGGAGGAACACCAGUGGCGAAGGCGACUUUCUGGACUGUAACUGACACUGAGGCACGAAAGCGUGGGGAGCGAACAGGAUUAGAUACCCUCGUAGUC